rnacentral:lncRNA from 1 species
UUUAAAAUGAAUUUGGUGAGGGCAGAAAAUCUUUUAGGUCUGAAAUUAUAACAUGAUAUUCUGAAGUCAACAAAAACAUGCCAUUGAAAAGUGUUUCAUAAGGUAUAUAGUGUUUUAUUCUACAAUGCAAUCGUAAAAAAAAUUUGCAGAUAAAAUGAUACUAUUGCAAAGUAUCUUGUUUGCAACCAUACAAAACCAUUAAAUUUCAACUUAACAAUCAAUUAUGUAAAUAUGUAUUUCAAGUGCAAGGUUUCCUACUUGUUUUAAGAACAAGUUACAAAUUUAUUCAGCAUUUAUAUUUAGAUGGUUUGUAAUCUCUUGUUUGAUACAUAGUUUAAUAGGCUCUGGCUUUAACACUUGGAAGAAAAAAAAAAAAAAAAAAAAAAAAAACUUUUUUGCAAAUUUAAAAAAUUUAAAACAUGUGAUUUAUUUCUUUCAUUUCAAAUAAAUAAAUAAUACAAAAUCCAGGGACAUACAUCAAUGAAAUCAAAUUUUAUUUCAUUUCAAAAAAUAUAUUAUGCUAAAAUAAAAUAUUUCUUUUUGCAAUUUUUAGUUUAUUUGAAACUUAAUUUUUGUAAUUAUUUAAAAUAAUGUAAUUGGUAAUUUUAAUCCAAGUUCAAACUUGAAAAGAUAUAUUUCAUUAAGUUGAAGUCUUGGUUUCAGAAUUGAGAAGACAUCAGGACCAGAACCCUGGGAAAUGUUUCUGCUUCAAGUCAGAAAGACAAACAAUGAAUCACGGAAAACAAAUUCCAAAACCUAUGGCAAUGUGUCUUUAAGAAAUAUCUACCUUCAGGCCUGCUGAACCACAAUACAAAUUGAAACUUCAAGUUAUUCCAUGCUCUAAAUGAAACCUACAAACAGGUGAAGAAAAGCAGUAAGAAACAGAAUCCAUCAUACAUGAGAUGCGAAGCUUGUGAGGCAAAUAUCCACCCAACCACUUUCCGCUGUGGUAGAGCACUGAAACAAACUCUUUCACCUCGGCCAAUUAUCUUAAAAAAAUAGGAGUCUCAUGGUCCGAUCAAUCCAGAUGGUGCAGGAUCGUACAGGUUUUCGGAGGAAGCCAGGCAAAGGCCUUCAACAAGUGGAUACUUUGCAUCAUUCAGCAGUAGACAGUAGAAGGGGAGGGAUGACUGCACUACAUGAUACAGCCAUUUACAUCACCAUUCCACCAUCAAUGUUGAGGUUCUGCAAUGAACAUGGCCAACCAUAGAAUUACUUUUCUGCAGCUUCAGAUUCUAGAUAAAAGAAAAACAUGCCAAACCUGCUCUCAUGGGCCCCCC